rnacentral:rRNA from 1 species
CUGGAGGUAUCAGAAGUGCGAAUGCUGACAUAAGUAACGAUAAAGCGGGUGAAAAGCCCGCUCGCCGGAAGACCAAGGGUUCCUGUCCAACGUUAAUCGGGGCAGGGUGAGUCGACCCCUAAGGCGAGGCCGAAAGGCGUAGUCGAUGGGAAACAGGUUAAUAUUCCUGUACUUGGUGUUACUGCGAAGGGGGGACGGAGAAGGCUAUGUUGGCCGGGCGACGGUUGUCCCGGUUUAAGCGUGUAGGCUGGUUUUCCAGGCAAAUCCGGAAAAUCAAGGCUGAGGCGUGAUGACGAGGCACUACGGUGCUGAAGCAACAAAUGCCCUGCUUCCAGGAAAAGCCUCUAAGCAUCAGGUAACAUCAAAUCGUACCCCAAACCGACACAGGUGGUCAGGUAGAGAAUACCAAGGCGCUUGAGAGAACUCGGGUGAAGGAACUAGGCAAAAUGGUGCCGUAACUUCGGGAGAAGGCACGCUGAUAUGUAGGUGAAGCGACUUGCUC